AUUAAUACAUGUGUGGGCAGCACCAUGAAGCUAAAAAGAUACAAUGGCAGGAAGGAAAGCACAGCAAGGGAGGUGUUCCCAGCCCUCGGUCUCCAUCCUGUUCCAUAUUGCCACUGCCAUCUGAUGGAGAAGGAGAGACCAUAGACGCCUCCACCAGCUGUCCUUAUACCAAAACGUUCCUGAGGCCUAUAAAUAAGGAUAAAUGAGGAUAAUUAUAAGGCCUAGGAGUACCGAGCCCCAAGACCCAGGCGGAGACCAAGAGGCGGGGACCCAAACAACCCCCGCCGCAGAGUCCAUAUUUCUCCCUUUUUACCCGUGUUUUACGCCGCCAAGAUGAGCGAGACGAGUGCCGUGUUGGAGAAGCCACUCAGCGCCGUCUGUGGCACUCCCGGAGGAACAGGGGAAGAAGUACCAGCUGAUGACCGGAGAAAGCAGGGAGAGGCUGGAGUGCCGAGGGGUGCCGCUGCAGUGCCUGGACGAGGCGGCCCAGGAGAAUAAGCACCAGGCCGAGGAGAUGAAGAGGGACAUUGCCGACUUGGUGGACAUGUACCGGAUGGGCAAUGUGGGUGCCUGGCGUGCAAGAUCAAGGAUUUCUAGGUGCCCAUCAGCGACUUCAUCCACAACAUGCGCGGUGACAACAACAAGGCCAUGGAGGUCAUCCUCAACACUGAACUGCAGCAGACGCAGGAGCUCCAGUUCCACCUCCUCAUCCACCAGCCAUUCCGCCCGUCGAGGGACUCCUCAUUGACAUCAAGGUGGCAAGACAAGCACUUUUUUACCCUUUGUGUGUAGAGGACAGAAGGACUCCAGUGCUGGACGGACCACGAGGUAGAUCAGAGGUGGCUUCUGCUUCGUCCAUCUCCAGCUAAGUACAUAUUUUGCAUAGGAUGUUUUAAGAUAGUUAGCUAGGUUGCUGUGUGCCUGGAAUUAAUUCAUUAUUCCUUAAUUUCCAGCAAGUUUCUUUGUUGCAUUAAAUAAACUUAAGAGCAGGUUCGUCUGGCCUGUGUCUGUCCCAUGGGUGUGUGACUGGUCAUAAGUAAUAAAGACGAAGGGGUUGUGAGUCUGAGAACUCAAUUUUCAGAUACUUAUUUAUAUUUUUUUAUCGCUGAGAAUUUAUGGGAUUUUCGGAAGUCCAGACCUUUCAAGAACCGCACAUAAAAUGCCGCGUGUGUCUUUAGACUUUGAGUGUUUGUAAAAGUUGUCUAUUCUCCGAGACACAGAGGCGGCAGAGUUGUCCUGCCACGCCUGUGUCAUUGUAUUACUCUUUGCCAUUAUGACACAUAAAUCAUCAUGUGCACUGCUUGAGAUAUUGCACGUUUUAUAAAGAAAAAUGAUAAUUUCACUGAUAAUAUUUGUGGGGACACUUGCCGGGCCUUGACACUCCCACCACACAGUGAAGGUGCUCUUGGUAUUUGCGUCACACAGAGAAGUCCUGCCCCGCUACAGCCGCCUGUGGAACCAGCUUGUUCGCCACACCGACCUCCACCAUCGCGCGUCACUUCAAGUCUUCAAGCGGGAGGUGAACAGCUGGAUUAGGACUUCUAGGCAGUCAGGUGGUGGGCAAGGGGUGUGGCCGUGAGCUGACCACCAGGAUGCUGCUGCUGCCGACCAUGGCCAAGGGCAAGGUGGCCAAGACUCUACAGAUGAUGGGCCACUCCUAGACAAGGGUUGGUUCAGGGUGGAAGCUCCAGAAAACGGCGAAAGGAAGAACCAAAGGAAGGAAGGAAGACCAUCUCAGAAGACCAUCUCAGAAGACCCCAGAGUCAGCCCCUACAGUCCAUUAUAGUCCAAGAAAUAGCUGAAGGAAGUCCCAAGUCCAAGCAACCUUCCUUUCUUUCUGCUUCAAGUUUCCUUUACCUUCAGCGAGGGGGCAAGGCGACCAUGGACCUCUCCCUUCCCUUCCCUUCCUUUCCCUUCCUUUCCUUUCCUUUCCCUUCCUUCCUUCCUUCCCUUCCCUUCCUUCCUUUCCCUUCCCUCCCUUCCUUCCUUUCCUUUCCCUU